rnacentral:lncRNA from 1 species
CGGACGUUGUGUCAUUCUCAUCGUAAGGCGUGGCUGUUUUGUAUGGUGCCUUAUGGGCCAAAGCAUACGAGACGAAAAGGUUGGCCAAUGGAGCAUUAUGGUGAGAUGCCUGCAACCAAAGCAACAUGAUUAAGAUUUCAUCACAAGGAUUGGCAACAUGUAUGACAAGAAAAAGCUUAUGAAGAACAAAUCGAUAUGGGAAGUAAGAUAUACCCAACGUUCACCGAACUCCAUAAUGUUCAAGUUGCCUUGAUGAUGUGGUGGAUCCAGCAUUGCGGCUCGUCGAUUUCUAUAAUCUUUGUUUUUCGCCCUAUACUCUUUGGAACACCAAUAGUCCACGAUCCGCUCCCAACACUCCCCCUUGGAUUCAUGUUUAGGGUCGCCAGUAUUGUAUCGAGACUUUGCAUUAUGCAAGCUUGGAAUAUUGCCCGCAUAGCAUGAUGUCGUGAAGUUUGUAAUAUCCUCCGCCAAGAAUGCCUCGGCUAUGGAGGCUUCAAUUCUACAUUUAUUUCUACAUUUAGCUCGAAGAGUCUUAUGCAUUCUCUCAAGUCCAUAGCACCAACAAUUCUGCAUAGGGCCACCCAUUCUUGCCUUGGAAGGGAGGUGUAAAAUCAUAUGUUCCAUCGGGUUAAAGAAUCCUGGUGGAAAGAUCUUCUCUAGCUUGCAGAGCAACUCGGGGGCCCGUUCUUCCAUCUCAUCUAUCACAGUAGGAGAUACUUCUUUAGCACAAAGAACACGGAAGAAAUAGGUAAGCUCUGCCAAUACUUCCCAAUCAUCCUCAAGGAUAUAGCCUCGAAUCAUCACCGACAUUAACCACUCAAGCCAUAUGUGCCAAUCAUGACUCUUCAUCCCGUUGAACUUCAAUUUAUCAAGUUUCACUGCCCUCAUAAGGUUCGUUGCAAACCCAUCAGGGGACAACAAAGUUUUGAACCACAUGAGUAUCUCCUUUUGUUCCCUAGUAAGAACAAACCUCGCCUUUGGCGUCCUCCAGUUUUUCUUUCCCUCGGGUUGUUGCAAGUUUUGUUCGGGUCUAUCACAUAGCUUCAUUACAUCAAGUCUAGACUUAGUAUUAUACUUCGUCUUCUCAGCAAUGUUGAACAACGUGCCAAAAAUGGCCUCGGCGAUAUUCUUUUCAGUGUGCAUUACAUCAAUAUUAUGUGGAAACUCGAGUUGGUGGAAGUAGGGGAGAUCCCAUAAGCAUGGCUUGUGAGUCCACGCGUGUUCUUCGUUAUAUCCCAAGAAAUACCCUGGACGUUUGGGAUCAGGCUGGAGAGCAUUUAUUUGAUCACGAAUUUGUUCACCCGUCAUCUCAGGUGGUGCCGAGUGUUCAACUACUUCACCUUUCAUGAAGUUCUUCUUGUCUUGUCUGAAUGGAUGGUCACGACGCAAAUGUUGUCUAUGAAAAUCGAAGCAAGAAUACUUGCGACCAUGCUGCAACCAACGGCACUGCAUGCUUGCCUUGCACCUUGGGCAUGGGAACCUCCCAUGCACAUACCACCCCAUGAAAAGUGAAUGUGCCGGUAAGUCAUGAAGUGAGUACUGGUACCAAACAUGCAUUGUGAAGUUCUUUUUGAUAGCAGCGUCGUAUGUCCGUAUCCCAUUCACCCAAGCUUCUUUCAACUCAUCUAUCAGUGGUUGCAUGUACACACUUAUAUUCUUCCCCGGAUACUUGGGCCCUGGAAUUAUCAACGACAGGAACAUGUGCUUGCGUUGCAUUAGGGCGCCAGGGGGGGAGGUUGAGGGCAACAACAAACACGGGCCAACAACUGUAUGUCUUUGACACCAUACCAAACGGAUUGAACCCAUCGAUUCCGAUGGCAACUCGUGCAUUCUUUGCCUCUUUUACUUUCUCAUGAUGUAUUCGAUCGAAACUCUUCCAUGCUUGGGCACAAGACAGAUGUAUCAACAUCGGUCUCCCAUGAUCAUCUUUGUUGCGUCUUAUCCCAUAUUUGUGCCAUGUCAUCUGUUUGGCUGUAUCUUCGUUCAAUAAAGACGUUGAAUUCUUGGCAAGAUUGGAAAAUAUCAAAGAACAUUUGCGGGGACUUUGCUCUGUUUCUUCGUACCAUCACUGAGGUCUCUCUCGACAUACCUAGAGGCUUUGCACUUGGCGCAAUAAUUGUCAUCGGCAUACUCUUUCGUAAAUAAGACACAUCCAUUUGGACAAGCAUGUAUCUGCUCAUAGGGCAUCUUAAGUGCACGAAGGAUUUUCUUCGCAUAAUACCAGCUUUUAGCCAGUUUCUGACCUUCGGGGAGAGAGCGACCCCAAGAUGUCACCAUCGAAUUAAAGAAAUCUUUGCUCAUGUUGAACUGGGUCUUUAUAGCCAUUGCUUGUGCAAUGGCAUCCAGCUAACAUUGGUUUGUGUGGUCGUGAAGAGGUUGUUCUGAGGAAUUCAACAUUUCUAAGAAGGCCCUCGCAGACUCCUCUGGUUCUUCCUCUGAUCCCUCUUCACGUGCAUCGUUGAAGUCAGCUACAAUGUCAACGAUCUCGGUACCAUUGUUGUCGGUUCGCCGACGCACCACCUCCUCUCUGCUACGUUCAGGCUCGCCAUGAAGGGUCCACCGGGUAUACCCACGCUUAAACCCAUGCUUCUGCAGGUGCCUACACAUCGUCUUCUUCGCCUGUUCUCUGUCGUUGUCACACUUCAAGCAGGGGCACCAACUUUUUCUUUGGCCUCUAGCAAAUGUUGCCUCUACAAAUUCAUUGGUCUUCGUCACCCAUUCAGUGGUCAUGCCAGCCUGACUAGGGUGGCCAGUGUACAUCCACUCACGAUCAUCCAUAUUGGUACUUGCAUAUGACAGUAGGGGCACCAAAUUCAUAUUCAUCAAGAUAUGUAUAUUGUAAUUAAGACUAGAUACACAACUAAUUACCAUUGUUAUAUUAUUUACGCCAUGGCUUUAAUUUUUUACCAUACAAAAGGGAAACAUGCAUUCAUGGAUUGAAUCCUAUCGCUAAUAGGUAAAGAUGGUUCCUAAUCCCACUCGAGUACGUGUAGAUUGGGUUCGUUUCCCGUGCUCUACUCCGGUCCGAGGCAAAAUUUUGGCAGCACCUCCCCGCUGUUCUCCAAAUACACGUCUCGACAACAAGCCGAGAGAAUGUGCACCCGGAGAACAACAAGGUGGCGCAGAUGAAAUUUUGCCGAGGGCCGAAGUAGAGCAUGGAAAACGAAACCCAAUCUACGCGUACUCGGGCUGUCCAUGGAUAACGUGGACAAUUCGAAAGGACGACGGUUAUAAAUAUGCAAAGACAUGCAUAUUUAUAGAUGCCACCCUUUCGAACGGGAUGCGCCUAGGCUACGAGACUUGACAUGAAAAUAAAAUCUAGUAGCAUCAGCAUGACGACCGGAACAAAUCAAAUAGGGGAGGGGGAGGAGAUGACAGUCAAGCUCACCCCUAGACCGUAGAGGCGGUAGUCGAAUGACGAUGGCAAUGGCAACGGGACGGAUAGUGCUCCUGGAGGUGAAGAGAAAAUCCCUGCACAUGAAAAGCACCGGCACAACCAACAUAAGCACUCGCAGAACAAUCUAAUAAAAACAUCGUCAACAUCAUCUUGCAGUUCAACAAAACCUAACCUAAAGAAAAUAAGCAAGAAACUGAGCAUUUAAUUUCCUAACGAGCAUCAAUCAAAAAUGAAAUUUUGCCUUGUAGAACAACCAUAUUAUCCAAACUUGCUUUAUGGAGUAUACAUGCUAGAUCACCAACAUCAUGCUGCCUUGCAAUUCUUCCUCUUCUGUUUAAUUCCUUGACCUGUUUCUGGGGCAUCCUGAAAACGGCUGCCCACUGUGUUAGAUUGUCAAAGUUCGUGUGCACAAUUUGUUCACUUUACUCGCAUUUUCCACAUGUUUUAAUGAUUAACGUUGUUCGGUGACGGGAGCUGCCAUUAUGCCGUGCGAUAUGAUGUCUCAUACUGAUCCUUCCUCCACUAUCUGCCAUAUCUGUAGGCAUGGGAAUGAGUUCGCACAGACAGUCGGAUUCUUUCUUACUACUCACCCAUCUCAGGUACUCCUCCCUGUUCUGAAGCAAAUUCUUCACCUUUGAAGUACUGAAUGAGUGCAUACCAUGUUUUGAGUUUGUGACAGUAUGUUGUGUUGGGACUUGUUCGGUAACAGGAAAAGAUUCAGAUGAACUAUUGUAUUAACCAUUAAAAUUAUUAGAUCAAUGGCUCACAUGGUUUUUUAAUCUAGUUUGGGAAAAUUAAAUAGAAUGCCAGAAUAGGAGCGGUGCUCACCGUGGCGUGGGGCAGAGGGGGUUGAGGACAGAGGGGGAGAUGGUGCCCGGCUUCAGUGGUGACCAGCGGCUGCGGAUGCGUAGACGGGAGCCGGCGGCGGUGCUGCCAACUGCAGCCGUGGUGCUAGGGCAGGGGAGGACUGCCCGGUGGCGGUCGCGCCAUUGGAGGAGGACUGGUGGGGGGCGCAGUGGACAAGGGCCCCGACGGCGGCGGGGUGGAGGCAGGGCCACCUGCGGCAGUGCGGUGGAGGCGGGGACCAGCUGCGGCGGCGCGGUGGAGGGAGGGACGGGCGGCGGAGCCGGGGACGGGUGGUGGCGGCAGAUAACCUAGCGGGGGUCGAGACAGUGAUGCGGUCGGGUGUUGGGGGG